rnacentral:rRNA from 1 species
GAUGAACGCUAGCGGGAGGCCUAACACAUGCAAGCCGAGCGGUAGAGUUUCUUCGGAAACUUGAGAGCGGCGCACGGGUGCGUAACACGUGUGCAACCUACCUUUAUCUGGGGGAUAGCCUUUCGAAAGGAAGAUUAAUACCCCAUAAUAUAAUGAUUGGCAUCAAUUAUUAUUGAAAACUCCGGUGGAUAGAGAUGGGCACGCGCAAGAUUAGAUAGUUGGUGAGGUAACGGCUCACCAAGUCAAUGAUCUUUAGGGGUCCUGAGAGGGAGAUCCCCCACACUGGUACUGAGACACGGACCAGACUCCUACGGGAGGCAGCAGUGAGGAAUAUUGGACAAUGGGUGAGAGCCUGAUCCAGCCAUCCCGCGUGAAGGAUGACGGUCCUAUGGAUUGUAAACUUCUUUUGUACAGGGAUAAACCUACCCUCGUGAGGGUAGCUGAAGGUACUGUACGAAUAAGCACCGGCUAACUCCGG